AUCUAUAUAAUAUAAAAACAGUAUAUUUGACUUCCAAUCAUAAAGCCUAUCAAUGAUAGUAUAGAUA
rnacentral:tRNA from 1 species